GCCUGGGUAGCUCAGUUGGCAGAGCGGCUGUUUUGUAAACAGCAGGUUCGUGGGUUCGAGCCCCACCUCAGGCU
rnacentral:tRNA from 1 species